rnacentral:tRNA from 1 species
AACCACUAUAGUUCAGCGGUAGAACAAUUCACUCAUGCUGAGUAUGCGUAGAUUCGAUUUCUACUAGUGGUA